UUAGUGGUUAGAAUGCUUGAUUGUCAAUCAAGAGGCACGGGUUCGAAUCCCGUAUGAUCC
rnacentral:tRNA from 1 species